UGGAGAGAGGCAAGGUGGGCAGGAGGUUGGGGUGUGGAGAGAGGCAAGGUGGGCAGGAGGUUGGGGUGUGGAGAGAGGCAAGGUGGGCAGGAGGUUGGGGUGUGGAGAGAGGCAAGGUGGGCAGGAGGUUGGGGUGUGGAGAGAGGCAAGGUGGGCAGGAGGUUGGGGUGUGGAGAGAGGCAAGGUGGGCAGGAGGUUGGGGUGCGGAGAGAGGCAAGGUGGGCAGGAGGUUGGGGUGCGGAGAGAGGCAAGGUGGGCAGGAGGUUGGGGUGUGGAGGGAACAGUGGAGACCAGGGCAGGCCUGGUAGACAGGUAGAGGUGGUACAGGAGGUGUGGUUAUAUAGGUCGCUGCCUCCUCAGUUCGAGG